CCUACGGGAGGCUGCAGUGGGGAAUCUUCCGCAAUGGACGAAAGUCUGACGGAGCAACGCCGCGUGAGUGAUGACGGCCUUCGGGUUGUAAAGCUCUGUUAAUCGGGACGAAAGGCCUUCUUGCGAAUAGUUAGAAGGAUUGACGGUACCGGAAUAGAAAGCCACGGCUAACUACGUGCCAGCAGCCGCGGUAAUACGUAGGUGGCAAGCGUUGUCCGGAAUUAUUGGGCGUAAAGCGCGCGCAGGCGGAUCAGUCAGUCUGUCUUAAAAGUUCG
rnacentral:rRNA from 1 species